GACGAACGCUGGCGGCGUGCUUAACACAUGCAAGUCGAACGGAAAGGCCCUGCUUUUGUGGGGUGCUCGAGUGGCGAACGGGUGAGUAACACGUGAGUAACCUGCCCUUGACUUUGGGAUAACUUCAGGAAACUGGGGCUAAUACCGGAUAGGAGCUCCUGCUGCAUGGUGGGGGUUGGAAAGUUUCGGCGGUUGGGGAUGGACUCGCGGCUUAUCAGCUUGUUGGUGGGGUAGUGGCUUACCAAGGCUUUGACGGGUAGCCGGCCUGAGAGGGUGACCGGCCACAUUGGGACUGCGAUACGGCCCAGACUCCUACGGGAGGCAGCAGUGGGGAAUAUUGCACAAUGGGCGGAAGCCUGAUGCAGCAACGCCGCGUGCGGGAUGACGGCCUUCGGGUUGUAAACCGCUUUCGCCGGUGACGAAGCGUGAGUGACGGUAAUGGGUAAAGAAGCACCGGCUAACUACGUG
rnacentral:rRNA from 1 species